AGAGAGAGAGAGAGAGAGAGAGAGAGAGAGAGAGAGAGAGAGAGAGAAAAUUGUCUCGCAUGUUUUUGCUUGUUCUCCGUUUGGCUCCAAUGUUGCCACCAUUACGGCCAAACGGUUCAAAUGCGAUGAUUGAGCCCAGUCUUCGGAUUAGAAUGUUUGUAACUCCUUCCAUAACCAUACCAUUUGCUUUUCGGUUAAAUUUUGCCAAAUUGUUGCUUACAUGAAAAUUUUAUAUACGAAUAUUUUUCACUGUGAUAAAAAAAAAAAAAAACACUGAUUACUACCUUUUAUCAAAGCCGAAGUCUGGGCUCUAUCGUCACAUUCGGAACAACGUGAUGCUGAACCAGGAUUCUACCUUCAGACCUUGGACUGUGAAGUAAUUAGACUGCAUCUGGACACUAAACUUAUUCUAAAAAUGUUUCUGAAAAAUUAGAUUCUUACUUAAGAUAAAACAAAAUAAGAAGAACUAAAUAAGUAAGCAAAAAAGACGCAUACAUUAUGUGCACAUGUCCUGGGUAUGACACUAAACUGCAUCCAGACAGCGUGUGAAGAUUAUGCUAAGGGUUAGGCAGUCCCACCUAACUUCUAUAAAAUGCUCUCAUACGAUCGUUAUUAAUCAUGCUGUGACUGGCGAGUGCGGUCGGCGCCAUAAAACCGAACGGGCCCUUGGGUAAUUUAGGGUUUAGGGACGACAGGUAACAGCAGAUCCAUUGGUACCAAAUCAGAGGGGAAGGAAGAUGAACUACGACCAGGAAGGCCAACGGUAGCAACAGGAGCAACAUUGCACUCAUCGCCAGAGGAACUCGCCGUGCAAAAUUCUGCCACUGUCUUUUUGAACGCUUAAUCAGGCAGUCAAGCCCCACUAACGCAUGUCAAAGCAUGGUGUGUGUCCACGUAGCCAAUACUAACCACUGUUCGAGCACGUAACUGAGGUCCAGAUCAUUGAGGGAAGGCCGUCGUUAUUCAUUGCAGGACACACUUCUGCAAUGACUUCUAAGUUGGUGUCUUAAGGAGCAGUCUCCAAGUAAGCAAAAUAUCAAAUAAAUAUUGAAAAAAAGGGUUCUGAAGUGCUGUAAUAAGUUCGAAACGAAUUGUAUCCCCGUUUUUGCUUAAGGAAUAAUAUUGUUUUCUACGAAGUGGUGAAAUAUGUAUUUUAUUAACUGUCUAAGUAUUUUUUUUGCUUCCUUUGUUUAACAGAUGUAGAAUAUUAUACUUGUAAUUGCUAAUUUGUUAUACUUUAUAUAUACUAAAACUGCGCACAAUAAACGUAAUAGGUAGCUCUCUGUGA